UAUAGUAGUUAUAGUAGUUAACAUCAUACAGGACAGGUAGUUAUAGUAGUUAUAGUAGUUAACAUCAUACAGGACAGGUAGUUAUAGUAGUUAACAUCAUACAGG